rnacentral:rRNA from 1 species
CAAGGAAGGCAGCAGGCGCGCAAAUUACCCACUCCCGGCACGGGGAGGUAGUGACGAAAAAUAACGAUACGGGACUCAUCCGAGGCCCCGUAAUCGGAAUGAGUACACUCUAAACCCUUUAACGAGGAUCAAUUGGAGGGCAAGUCUGGUGCCAGCAGCCGCGGUAAUUCCAGCUCCAAUAGCGUAUAUUAAAGUUGUUGCGGUUAAAAAGCUCGUAGUCGAAUCUGUGUCUCGUGCCGUCGGUUCAUCGCUCGCGGUGUUAACUGACGUGUCACGGGACGUCCUGCCGGUGGACUUAGCCUUUCGGGGCGGUCCAACUUCAAAUCCCACCGCGGUGCUCUUCAUUGAGUGUCGAGGUGGGCCGGCACGUUUACUUUGAACAAAUUAGAGUGCUUAAAGCAGGCUAAAACUUCGCCUGAAUAUUGUGUGCAUGGAAUAAUGGAAUAGGACCUCGGUUCUAUUUUGUUGGUUUUCGGAACCCCGAGGUAAUGAUUAAUAGGAACGGAUGGGGGCAUUCGUAUUGCGACGUUAGAGGUGAAAUUCUUGGAUCGUCGCAAGACGGACAGAAGCGAAAGCAUUUGCCAAAAACGCUUUCAUUGAUCAAGAACGAAAGUUAGAGGUUCGAAGGCGAUCAGAUACCGCCCUAGUUCUAACCAUAAACGAUGCCAGCUAGCGAUCCGCCGACGUUCCUCCGAUGACUCGGCGGGCAGCUUCCGGGAAACCAAAGCUUUUGGGUUCCGGGGGAAGUAUGGUUGCAAAGCUGAAACUUAAAGGAAUUGACGGAAGGGCACCACCAGGAGUGGAGCCUGCGGCUUAAUUUGACUCAACACGGGAAACCUCACCAGGCCCGGACACCGGUAGGAUUGACAGAUUGAGAGCUCUUUCUUGAUUCGGUGGGUGGUGGUGCAUGGCCGUUCUUAGUUGGUGGAGCGAUUUGUCUGGUUAAUUCCGAUAACGAACGAGACUCUAGCCUGCUAACUAGGCGUAUUUUCGACAUCUCAAAGGCCCGCCGGCCCGGCGCUUUGCGUCGUGGUCGCGCGCGGUUUUUACUGUCGGCGUACAAUUAAUUCUUCUUAGAGGGACAGGCGGCUUCUAGCCGCACGAGAUUGAGCAAUAACAGGUCUGUGAUGCCCUUAGAUGUUCUGGGCCGCACGCGCGCUACACUGAAGGAAUCAGCGUGUCCUCCCUGGCCGAGAGGCCCGGGUAACCCGCUGAACCUCCUUCGUGCUAGGGAUUGGGGCUUGCAAUUAUUCCCCAUGAACGAGGAAUUCCCAGUAAGCGCGAGUCAUAAGCUCGCGUUGAUUACGUCCCUGCCCUUUGUACACACCGCCCGUCGCUACUACCGAUUGAAUGAUUUAGUGAGGUCUUCGGACCGGUACGCGGUGGCGCUUCCGCGUCGCCGAUGUUGCUGGGAAGAUGACCAAA